rnacentral:rRNA from 1 species
UUGCCCUAGUACGGCGAGUGAAGCGGCAACAGCUCAAAUUUGAAGCUAGCCUUCGGGUUCGCAUUGUAAUUUAUGUAAGGAUGAUUGGGGAAGCCGCCUGUCUAAGUUCCUUGGAACAGGACGUCAUAGAGGGUGAGAAUCCCGUAUGUGACAGUGAAAUGGCACCCUAUGUAAAUCUCCUUCGACGAGUCGAGUUGUUGGGAAUGCAGCUCUAAAUGGGAGGUAAUUUCUUCUAAAGCUAAAUAUUGGCGAGAGACCGAUAGCGCACAAGUAGAGUGAUCGAAAUAUGAAAAGCACUUUGGAAAGAGAGUUAAAAAGCACGUGAAAUUGUUGAAAGGAAGCGCUUGCAAUCAGACUUGUUUAACACUGUUCGGCCGGUCUUCUGACCGGUUUACUCAGUUUGGACAGGCCAGCAUCAGUUUCGGCGGCCGGAUAAAGGCUCUGGGAAUGUGGCCUCC